rnacentral:rRNA from 1 species
ACUCAAAGGAAUAGACGGGGGCCCGCACAAGCGGCGGAGCAUGUUGCUUAAUUCGACGCAACGCGAAGAACCUUACCAAGGUUUGACAUCACCCGGAAACGUGCAGAGAUGUGCGCCUCUUCGGAUCGGGUGACAGGUGGUGCAUGGCUGUCGUCAGCUCGUGUCGUGAGAUGUUGGGUUAAGUCCCGCAACGAGCGCAACCCUUGCUCCAUGUUGCCAGCACGCUCCUCGUUUGGGGGGUGGUGGGGACUCAUGGGGGACUGCCGGGGUCAACUCGGAGGAAGGUGGGGAUGACGUCAAGUCAUCAUGCCCCUUAUGUCUUGGGCUGCAAACAUGCUACAAUGGCUGGUACAGAGGGUGGCGAUACCGUGAGGUGGAGCGAAUCCCUAAAAGCCGGUCUCAGUUCGGAUUGGGGUCUGCAACUCGACCCCAUGAAGUCGGAGUCGCUAGUAAUCGCAGAUCAGCAAUGCUGCGGUGAAUACGUUCCCGGGCCUUGUACACACCGCCCGU